CCUACGGGUGGCAGCAGUUAGGAAUAUUGGGCAAUGGAGGAAACUCUGACCCAGCAACGUCGCGUGAAGGAAGAAGGUUUUCGGAUUGUUAACUUCUGAUCUGUGGGACGAAGAAAGUGACGGUACCACAGGAGAACGCCACGGCUAACUACGUGCCAGCAGCCGCGGUAAUACGUAGGUGGCGAGCGUUGUCCGGAAUAACUGGGUGUAAAGGUAGCGUAGGUGGUAGAUUAAGUUAGAUGUGAAAGCCCAGGGCUCAACUCUGGAACUGCAUUUAAUACUGGUCGGCUAGAGGACAGGGGGGGUAAACGGAAUUGCUAGUGUAGCGGUGAAAUGCGGAGAUAUUAGGAAGAACACCGGAGGCGAAGGCAGUUUACUGGACUGCAACUGACACUGAGGCUCGAAAGCGUGGGGAGCAAACAGGAUUAGAUACCCUUGUAGUC
rnacentral:rRNA from 1 species